rnacentral:rRNA from 1 species
GUCCACGCCGUAAACGAUGGGCGCUAGGUGUGGGCGGUGUCGACUCCGUCCGUGCCGAAGCUAACGCAUUAAGCGCCCCGCCUGGGGAGUACGGCCGCAAGGCUAAAACUCAAAGGAAUUGACGGGGGCCCGCACAAGCAGCGGAGCAUGUGGUUUAAUUCGACGCAACGCGAAGAACCUUACCAGGGCUUGACAUGCACGGGAAUUGCGUAGAAAUACGUAAGCCCUUCGGGGCUCGUGCACAGGUGGUGCAUGGCUGUCGU